rnacentral:rRNA from 1 species
CGGAACGUGCCCGAUCGUGGGGGAUAACGCAGCGAAAGCUGUGCUAAUACCGCAUACGAUCUACGGAUGAAAGCAGGGGAUCGCAAGACCUUGCGCGGACGGAGCGGCCGAUGGCAGAUUAGGUAGUUGGUGGGGUAAAGGCUCACCAAGCCGACGAUCUGUAGCUGGUCUGAGAGGACGACCAGCCACACUGGGACUGAGACACGGCCCAGACUCCUACGGGAGGCAGCAGUGGGGAAUUUUGGACAAUGGGCGCAAGCCUGAUCCAGCCAUGCCGCGUGCAGGAUGAAGGCCUUCGGGUUGUAAACUGCUUUUGUACGGAACGAAACGGCCUUUUCUAAUAAAGAGGGCUAAUGACGGUACCGUAAGAAUAAGCACCGGCUAACUACGUGCCAGCAGCCGCGGUAAUACGUAGGGUGCAAGCGUUAAUCGGAAUUACUGGGCGUAAAGCGUGCGCAGGCGGUGAUGUAAGACAGAUGUGAAAUCCCCGGGCUCAACCUGGGAACUGCAUUUGUGACUGCAUCGCUGGAGUGCGGCAGAGGGGGAUGGAAUUCCGCGU